CAAAAUUGAUCUUUAAUUUGUGUCUAUAAACCAAGAUCCAUACCAAUGCAAAUUAUUGAUCUCUAUAUCAGCAUAGGUUUUGACACAUACAUAAUUCCAUGUGUCCACAAUUAUUAUAUUAUAGAGGAUAGUUCCUCAGCCCUCAACAUCCUCUUCAUUCCUCUUAGUCAUGCCAAUCACUCAUUAUUUUUUUUCUUCCAUGGAGAUUUGCCCUUUAUAGAGUUUUAUAGACAUGAUAUACUCUACACAGUCUUUUUAGAUUGGCUUAAAUUUCUCCAUGCCUUUAUAACUCAUGUCUUUUAGGUGCUGAGUAAUAUUCCAUAUGGAUGUACCUCGGUUGGUUUGUUCAUUUACUUGCUAAAGGUUAGUCUGGUUGUCUCCAAGCUAUGACAAUUACUGAAUCACCGGGCAUCUCUCCAGCCCCUGGAAUCAAGUUUUAAACUGUUAGUGAAAGCAUCAAGAACUCUUCCUGGGAGCACAACAAGAUGGAGGAUGGUGUGCAAAUUAAACAUCUUCUGAGAUAUUCCUGCAUUAAUUGACGGAUAGGCAAAUGUCACUGCAAUAAAACAUGACCCAAAGGGACUUACAGAAGAAAGACUUUAUAUGGUGCCUGAAAGAAGCGUUCACAAUGGCGAAGAAGGCAUGGCAGAAGAUGGUCAGAACUGAGAGAUCACAUCUUCAUCCACAUGUAUGAAGCUGGUGUGGGGGAGGGAGAUGCAGACAGACAGAGAUACCGACAACAGACAGAGACAGACAGACAGAGAGACAGAUAUCAGAAAGCUGGGGCCAGGAUAUAAGACUUCUGAAACCUGCCCCCCACACCUGCAGUCCCAGCCCAGUAAUACACUUUCUCCAGAAAGUCUGUACCUCCUAAAAGCUCUAUACUUUCCCCAAACAGCGCUCCCAACUGGGGAUCAAAUAUUAAAAUCUUUGAGCCUACAGGAGGUAUAUUUUCAUUCAGACUCUCCACAAAAGCCAAUAUGUCUUUUGUUUAACCUAAAAAGAGUUUCUAUUCUACAUUAUGAGUACUUGGCUUCAGAUAUAAUAUUUGAUAUGUUUACACGGUGCUUGAACUUCGUCAGCCAUCACUUUGGUGGGACUUGGAUUUCAGUAGAUGGGACCUGGGUCUGAGCCCCAUGAGCAGGGUGCCCUAAAUGCUGUAAUGUUUCAUCCCGCGGGACUUCAGAGAGCCUCUCUCAGCUGGAAAGUGCGGCGAGAUUACUGUGCGGCUGCCCUUGUAUUCUAAUCAAGAUGAACUUGAAAGGUGAACAUUAUAAGUGGUAGAAAUUAUUUAUAAUUUGGUAAUAAAAGUUUAUAUCUAACACUCCAGAUUUCAUACGUCUGCUAUGUGCUGGCUCUGGGUUAUAAAACAAUUGUAGUUGCCUUUACGUUUGGCCUUAUAAGAAAGGUCGUAAAUUAGAAUGAUAGCAUUCGUCCUCUUUCUGAGCUCAGAAAAUUUCCAUAUUAACAUCUUCACCUCAAACAUAAAUGGUUACCCAACUACAAAGAAAAGAGUUGCGCUGAGCUUUAUGAAUUACAGUUUAUGUUGAAAAUCUGUGUACACACGGCUGCAGUAGUGCAUUUCAACUUCAGUAAAGCUGGUUUUACCAUAGUGGAGCUAAUUCAAACUGCAUGGGCAACUUAAAUAAAUAAAGAACAGCAUAUAAAACUUGGGAAUAUUUUAGAUGUCAGCAAAAGGUUGCUAGGGUAUGCAAUUAUUUUAACUCUUAACAUGCAUUUUUAUGUCUUCAAGGGUUUUUUCCCCUUCCAGAAUAUCUCUACCUCACUGCUUACAAAUAAGCUUUGCUUUCAGUUUCAAAUGUUUCUUUGUAGUGUGGUUUUAACUGAUAACGUGACAGUCUGGGUUUUCUCCCCCUUACAGAAAAAAUACACAGCGCAUUCUAUUAUGACAUAUAAUGGCUAAAGUCUUCCCAAGAUAUUGAUGAAUUGGACCAAUGCUUUAUGUUUAGACUUUCAAAAAAUGUUUACAGCAAAAACCAGAUGACCUUAAUUUUCCAGUGUGGAAUAUCAAAUCCAUGUGCUUUGCUGGUGUAGGCCACUUUCACCAUCCUGUCUGUGUAGUUAGAAUACAGUGAACUGUAAACAAGCAGGAUCAAGUUCUAGAACAAUCACAGGGGCCCAGACUUUCAUCCACAGAGAACAGAGAAUGUUAGUUCUCGGUAACUUUCAGCAUUAGAAACUGUCUUUCCCAUGGGGGAUUUAAUAGAGCUAGAAGUUCCUAAUGAGUUAGCAUGGCUUAGUCUAUGAGGGCUGCUGUAGCAAUAUACCCUAGACUGGGCAGACUGGGCAACUCAUUACUCACUGUUUUCUAGACUAGGAAGCCCAUGACAAAGGUACCAACAGUUUUGUUCUCUGCGGCUUUGACGACACCUUCUGAAUUCAUUUUCAUGAGGAGGAAAGUAGCAAGGGAACUCACUGUAGCCACUUAAAUAAAGACACAGAUCCAGUCGUGAGGCCCUGUGACUUCACACAGAUCCAGUCGUGAGGCCCCUGUGACUUCACACAGAUCCAGUUGUGAGGCCCCUGUGACUUCACACAGAUCCGGUCGUGAGGGCCUGUGACUUCACACAGAUCCAGUCGUGAGGCCCCUGUGACUUCACACAGAUCCGGUCGUGAGGGCCUGUGACUUCAUCACUUCUUUUCUGUUGUUUUAAAAUGUGUUAUUGUUGCUGCUAUUGUUGCUGUUAUUGUUUCUUGUCAUCGUCAUGAUUAUGUUGGCUCUGUGUGUAAAGGCACACACUGGUGGGUGAAGGACUGCAGCCACAGCAGAUGCGAAUCUGAGCAAACUUUGUGGAGUAGUUCUCACCUUCUAUCUUUCCUUGGGUCCUACACUGUCAAGCUUGCGUAGCGGUGCUUUUCCUGACUGAGCCACCUCAUGCAACCAGUUCUUAAUGCACAGCUGUGCUGGUUCGUCUGUCAACUUCACAUAACCUGGAGUCAUCUGAGAAGAGGCAACCUUCAUUCAGAAAAUGCUAACAUCAGACUGACCUGUAAGGAGGGCCCAGCCAGCCGUAGGUGGUGUCCACGCGCCCCCACUCCCGGGCAGAUGGUCCUGGGCUGUGGAAUAAUUGCAAUUGCAGCAAGCCAGUGAGCAGCAUCCUCCAUGGUAUCUGUUUUAGUUCCUGCCUCCAGCUCCUGUGCCGAGUUCCUGCCCUCAAUGAUGGAUGUCUAGAAAUGUUAAGUCAAAUAAACCCUGUUCUUCUUAA